rnacentral:rRNA from 1 species
UGAGGAAUAUUGGUCAAUGGGCGCAAGCCUGAACCAGCCAUGCCGCGUGCAGGAUGACGGUCCUAUGGAUUGUAAACUGCUUUUAUACAGGAAGAAACAACUCUACGUGUAGAGUCUUGACGGUACUGUAGGAAUAAGCACCGGCUAACUCCGUGCCAGCAGCCGCGGUAAUACGGAGGGUGCAAGCGUUAUCCGGAUUCACUGGGUUUAAAGGGUGCGUAGGCGGGUAGGUAAGUCAGUGGUGAAAUCCUAGAGCUCAACUCUAGAACUGCCAUUGAUACUAUUUAUCUUGAAUAUUGUGGAGGUAAGCGGAAUAUGUCAUGUAGCGGUGAAAUGCUUAGAUAUGACAUAGAACACCUAUUGCGAAGGCAGCUUACUACGCAUAUAUUGACGCUGAGGCACGAAAGCGUGGGGAUCAAACAGG